rnacentral:misc_RNA from 1 species
UACGGAGGGGGCUAGCGUUGUUCGGAAUUACUGGGCGUAAAGCGCACGUAGGCGGUUAUGCAAGUUGGGCGUGAAAGCCCGGGGCUCAACCCCGGAACUGCGCCCAAGACUGCGCGACUGGAGUACGGGAGAGGGUGGUGGAAUUCCCAGUGUAGAGGUGAAAUUCGUAGAUAUUGGGAAGAACACCAGUGGCGAAGGCGGCCACCUGGCCCGUGACUGACGCUGAGGUGCGAAAGCGUGGGGAGCAAACAGG